rnacentral:rRNA from 1 species
AGUGAACGCUGGCGGUAGGCCUAACACAUGCAAGUCGAACGGCAGCACAGUAAGAGCUUGCUCUUACGGGUGGCGAGUGGCGGACGGGUGGGGAAUACAUCGGAACCUACUUUUUCGUGGGGGAUAACGUAGGGAAACUAUCGCUAAUACGGCAUACGACCUACGGGUGAAAGCAGGGGAUCUUCGGACUUUGCGCGAUUGAAUGACCCGAUGUCGGAUUGGCUAGUUGGCGGGGUAAAGGCCCACCAAGGCGACGACCCGUAGCUGGUCUGAGAGGAUGAUCAGCGACACUGGAACUGAGACACGGUCCAGGCUCCUACGGGAGGCAGCAGUGGGGAAUAUGGGACAAUGGGCGCAAGCCUGAUCCAGCCAUACCGCGUGGGUGAAGAAGGCCUUCGGGUUGUAAAGCCCUUUUGUUGGGAAAGAAAAGCAGCAGGUUAAGACCCCGCUGUUCUGACGGUACCCAAAGAAGAAGCACCGGCUAACUUCGUG